rnacentral:rRNA from 1 species
AUUGAACGCUGGCGGCAGGCCUAACACAUGCAAGUCGAGCGGAUGAAGGGAGCUUGCUCCUUGAUUCAGCGGCGGACGGGUGAGUAAUGCCUAGGAAUCUGCCUAGUAGUGGGGGACAACGUUUCGAAAGGAACGCUAAUACCGCAUACGUCCUACGGGAGAAAGUGGGGGCUCUUCGGACCUCACGCUAUUAGAUGAGCCUAGGUCGGCUUAGCUAGUUGGUAGGUUAAAGGCCUACCAAGGCGACGAUCCGUAACUGGUCUGAGAGGAUGAACAGUCACACUGGACAUGAGACACGGUCCAGACUCCGACGGGAGGCAGCAGUGGGGAAUAUUGGACAAUGGGCGCAAGCCUGAUCCAGCCAUGCCGCGUGUGUGAAGAAGGCCUACGGGUCGUAAAGCCCUUUAAGUUGGGAGGAAGGGCUUACGGUUAAUACCUGUGAGUUUUGACGUUACCAACAGAAUAAGCGCCGGCUAACUUCGUGCCAGCAGCCGCAGUAA